rnacentral:rRNA from 1 species
CGUGGAUAACCUGCCUCACACUGGGGGAUAACAGUUAGAAAUGACUGCUAAUACCGCAUAAGCGCACAGUGCCGCAUGGCAGUGUGUGAAAAACUCCGGUGGUGUGAGAUGGCCUCGCGUCCGAUUAGCUAGUUGGUGAGGUAAUGGCCCACCAAGGCGACGAUCGGUAGCCGGACUGAGAGGUUGAACGGCCACAUUGGGACUGAGACACGGCCCAG